AGACCCGAAACCCGGUGAUCUAGCCAUGGGCAGGUUGAAGGUUGGGUAACACUAACUGGAGGACCGAACCGACUAAUGUUGAAAAAUUAGCGGAUGACCUGUGGCUGGGGGUGAAAGGCCAAUCAAACCGGGAGAUAGCUGGUUCUCCCCGAAAGCUAUUUAGGUAGCGCCUCGUGAAUUCAUCUCCGGGGGUAGAGCACUGUUUCGGCUAGGGGGUCAUCCCGACUUACCAACCCGAUGCAAACUGCGAAUACCGGAGAAUGUUAUCACGGGAGACACACGGCGGGUGCUAACGUCCGUCGUGAAGAGGGAAACAACCCAGACCGCCAGCUAAGGUCCCAAAGUCAUGGUUAAGUGGGAAACGAUGUGGGAAGGCCCAGACAGCCAGGAUGUUGGCUUAGAAGCAGCCAUCAUUUAAAGAAAGCGUAAUAGCUCACUGGUCGAGUCGGCCUGCGCGGAAGAUGUAACGGGGCUAAACCAUGCACCGAAGCUGCGGCAGCGACACUCAGGUGUUGUUGGGUAGGGGAGCGUUCUGUAAGCCUG
rnacentral:rRNA from 2 species